rnacentral:rRNA from 1 species
UACGUAGGCAGCAAGCGUUGUUCGGAGUUACUGGGCGUAAAGAGCGCGUAGGUGGUGCCCUAAGUCUGUUGUGAAAUCUCCCGGCUUAACUGGGAGGGUGCGGUGGAAACUGGGGUGCUUGAGUGUGGGAGAGGUAAGCGGAAUUCCUGGUGUAGCGGUGAAAUGCGUAGAUAUCAGGAGGAACACCGGUGGUGUAGACGGCUUACUGGACCACGACUGACACUGAGGCACGAAAGCGUGGGUAGCAAACAGG